UUCCUCGCGGCUUGAAGAAUAAAAUGGCGGUUGUCUUUCUUCAGCAUGCAAAUGUCAAAUGUAAAGAAAUUUUUCCAGCAGUCAAUUUGGUAUAUAUUAAAGCCGAAAUUCUCAACUUUUGCUUUAGUUGCUGGUUUGUCAGAUUGACUGUUAUACAACAUGUUCAUACCUCUACAGCAAAAUUGUUCAGUCAUCAAUAACUCGCAAAUGUUGCUGUUGCUUGAAGACAUUCAGAAUAUUCUUUCAUAAGUUCGGUCCUUCAACGGAUUAUGCGUGUGUCGUAGUCUACUCAUACACAGGAUGAAUACUCACUCGCGAUCGGUCCCUUCAAUGAAGAAAACGAGGAUUUGAACUUGUCAAAUCGUUGUAAGUUUUUUGUUUUAUGAACUGCAUUUUCGAAAGCCCCACAAAAUGUACGAUUAAUUCGUAACAACACCUUGAAGUUUAUACAAAGGCAGUUUCGAGGUCGAAAAGAACAGCGUUUUUCUUAGAAUCGAAUUUGCGAUGAAUUUGUUGGCAAUUGGCUGGUACAUAUACGUCUUCACAUCCUCAGUCAGUUCUUAUUUACUCGCUAAAGUCUACUUGAUGACUCUCUUGUGCUAUUUCUUUCAAUCAAUUUUUUUCUCAGUUAUUUUACCCAAGUUUUUGAGAUUCUGUAAUUUGGCACUCAAUGUUGUUAACUCCACACAAAUUGUUUCUUUGCUAAGUCGUCCCCGUUUUGUAACUCCAUGCAUGAUUUCUAGAUCGAAUUGGGCACCAUGCAAUAGAACUUUAUACACAAAAAAAGAAAAAUUCAAAAGAACACAAACAAAAAUUAGGCAAAUUAAAAUCCUAGAUGUACAGUGUACUACACAGGCUUUUCAAAAGUCAUACUGUAGGUUCGAUAAAUGUUGUUCGUCAAAAGACCACCAUGUUUUCACUGUGGAAUGUUCCUACCUAAACUACUGUUCUUUUCACAAGUAGCUAAUUCCUUUCACUUUUUUUAUUAAUUAGUAUAGGUAUUAACGAGAUUUUUGCUCCAACAAUUUGUGAUUAAAUAGGAAUGAUGUUUGAAAAUUUUUCCAAAAUUGGACGUGCCAUCGACACGACUGACUGUGUCACAGUACAUUCCUAGUACUGCAAAUCAUUUUGUUUGCAAUUGACUGUUUCAUGCACAGAAUGUUCAUACUUCCACUGCAAAGAGUUGAUUGGUGUAUGGAACAUGUGAGAAAUCCCUUUGACGUACACUAACACAUAAAAGACCACUAUUAAGCAAACGUUGACGGAAAGAUUUUUAAUGAUGCAUUUGACUGACUGUGUCACAGUACAUUCCUACUACUGCAAAUCAUUUUG